UCACCAAAAUAUUCGCCGUCGCCUAAGAGGGCAAUCCGUAAGUUCUCACCAUGAGGUCCCUUGCUGAUGACCUCAGCCUGUCCGCUGGCUACGAUGAAGAAGCGCUGCUUAUCCUUGCCUUCCUCCACGAACAGCUUAUCAACUUCCACCUCCUUUGCCUCGAAAGAGCUUACCAGACGAUUCAGAAUCUCAUCGUCGAACUCAGAGAACAGGGGGAUCGCCUUCAGGUCCUUGGCUGUAAACGAGGGCACGCCAUUCACAUACUGGAUGGGAAGGCGGUCGUUCUUUCGGAGUUCUACCUUCGUGCGGUUUACACGGAAGGUGCCGCCGCUGACCUGUACCCAGGGAAGCAACUUGAGGAGUAAUCUCGGUGUGAUACUGCCCAUCUGCGGGGCGGUCUUGGUGGUGGUAGCCAGUCUUCUGGCGGUAGCAGU
rnacentral:antisense_RNA from 1 species